UACGGAGGGCGCUAGCGUUGUUCGGAAUUACUGGGCGUAAAGCGCACGUAGGCGGCGAAGUAAGUCAGGGGUGAAAUCCCGGGGCUCAACCCCGGAACUGCCCUUGAAACUGCUUUGCUAGAAUCCUGGAGAGGCGAGUGGAAUUCCGAGUGUAGAGGUGAAAUUCGUAGAUAUUCGGAAGAACACCAGUGGCGAAGGCGACUCGCUGGACAGGUAUUGACGCUGAGGUGCGAAAGCGUGGGGAGCAAACAGG
rnacentral:rRNA from 1 species